AACGUUUACAUUGUUCAUCAAGAGAGCAGCCUUUUCCGGCGAUGCAUUGAAGAGGAAGGACGUGAAAUACAUCCAUGGUUUUAAAUCCUCUACCAUCCAACAUUGUCCAACAACAGAAACAUCGUGUUGCCAAAAUCCCCAGACAUUACAGGACAAAGUCGUCAUCAUCUGACCAGACAAAAGCAUUCCGGGAGUAUGGAUUGGAGACUUUUCUCUUUCUUUUGGGGAUGGCUGGAUCCUUCUCACGGAAAUUCGGAGGAUGGCAUACUUUAUCAGUCCUAUGGCGGGUGGUUGGUGCUCUUUUAUAUGUUGCCAGUCUUGCCACAUUCUUGACACCUUCUGCUGUUGAAGUACCUUUGCCUCCAUCUAACAUGUGCUUUCCCGGACUUGACUGAUGCUUGUGUUCUUGAACCCUUUCCAGUUCUUGAAGAAGACUUCUGUUUAUCUAAAGUGGACUUCCUGUACCUGCUCUACUGUGAUCUUCCUCUGCAUCCGUGUCACUGUCCACGAUGAUUACUUCAGCAACUGCUUGUCCUAACAUGUGAAAGCAAAGAUUUACCUGUAACAGGAGUUAAUGUUUUGUCCAGAUCGGAUCCUUGGAUCAGCUCAUCCACAACCGAGACUUCUUGGGCCUGUUCUGCUCUUCUCCGAAUGGUGUUCUCACUCGCAGUUUGAUUUCGUGGAAUCGAUUCGUAAUCCUCAGAAUCUGAUACAAGUGUAGGAAGGGAGGAAACCUCUGGCGUACUCAUAACUUCCGAAUCGCUCUCCGCAUCAGUGUUUCCUAAAACCAUUUUCAAUUUUUUCAUUAUCACAGGGAGUGAUUAUUUCAUUAUGUACAUUAUUUAUUAUUUUCAUUGAUCAGGAAAUCUUUUUAAAUUUCAUGUUUUCAACAAUACUAAUAAUGUUCUUUGUUAGAAUUAUACUAACUUUUUCAUUAAUUUUAAUGUUCUACUUAUGUUUAAAUGUUUACCUGGUCUAAUAUCCCACUCUCCCAACUCGCAGGAAGGAACACCAGCCCACGUCUCAAAUAGUGGUGUUGUAUAAUUGUAAGUAGGUUGGGCAUUGAGGGGGUAAACUGAUCUAUUAUAUAAUAACAUUCUUUAAUAUGUGAAGUAAAAUUAUACCUCUCUAGAGUAAUAUUAUUUAAUGGAACAUAAUUAAAUAACUUACUUCACAAGAUUGAAGAAUCCAUCAUACAGGUGGGAUUUCACAUGAUUCCUCCACAUAAUCUCUGCCAUGUGACCCUCAAACUGUGAAAUUUUAGUUCCUGACAUUCUCUUGAAGUGCUCUUUUGCAUGCUUCCAUGCCCCCUCAAUACGAUUGGUGUGGAUGGAUUUCUCUUCACCUGUCUCCGCAUUGACAUAGGUCUUUUUGAAUGCAUACUUAUGUAUCACUGUGAAGUGCUCAUAUCCCAUAUCAUUUAGUGGGCAAUAUGCCGACCACCCAUCGCUGUAGAUGGAACUCCCAGGCAAACAAUGGCGUUGAAUGAUUGGGAGCAAUGUUUCCUCUUUCCUGUCUGCUACGGGGUAUAAUAUAAUGGUGUUUGUCUCCCUCUCGACCAUUCCAAACACCCAAAUCUGAAAUGUAAAUAGUGUUUAUUUAUAGCAACCUCUCAGCAAGAUAUGCUAUUUCAUUGGCUUUUAUAAAUGUAGAUAUUAUAUAGUUUAAUUCUUCUAUUUAUGUUUUCCUUCAAUUUCUUUAAAAUAGAGCAAAACAUGCCAACAAUGUUUGUUUAUUACCUUGAUUCAAUACUGCAAUA